CUAAUCUGUCCAAACAGCCUCCUUCUCCACCCCUCCCUCAUGAGCCGUGCUGUCUUUUACACGGAACCAAAGAGUUCCCAACUAAUGCACACAAAGGCUGACCUGCAGGAGAGUUAGCCUCAACUCUAUCUCCUUCAACACCUACCUAAGUUGGAAGAGUAAAGACCAGGAGAGUAUUAGCUUCGUCGGGGAUGCCUGCCACAGAGCGUGCCAAGUAGUCUGACGCCAACUGCCAAGCACAGCAGCACAGUGUGCCCAUGACUCAGAGUGAGACUCUGUCUCAACAGACAAAGACACAUGGGGAUGGAGGGAUGGCUCAGUGGUUAGAGUCAUUCCAUAAAAAUGACUAUGUAAGUCAUUUUCAGGGCACAGAGAAGGCCGGAGAGGACUGCACCAGGCUGAUGGUGCUCUGUGGUGUCAGGAACAGCACCCAUAGCACGCAGGUUCACGCAGGUUCACGGGAAAGCCCAUAGAAGACGACCUCUUUGACUUAAACAAUUGUGAUUGAAAUGCUUCUAAGACAAAUUGGUCUUUAAGGGACCACGAGAACAACCAUAAGAUUUUCUCAGAGGAUGCCUUCACACUCUGCAGGCGCAAGGAUAACCCUAGAAUUGUAUGCUCCGUGGUCUUUGCGUGACUUGAUAUGAUUUCUGUUGACACCUCUGCUAGGUUAUAUAUUUUUUCUGUUUAUUGGUGCUUGGUUCUAGAAAUAUGACUUCCUUUCUUUAAAAAAUAAUAAAAUUAUUAUCAUUAUUAUUAUUAUUA